rnacentral:lncRNA from 1 species
CACAGCUUUUAUCUCACUUCUUGAGACGCGUCCAUGCUGCCACACUCUCGCCCGUGGCUUCCAGAGGAGUGAGGACGGAGGGAAAGGAGAGGACCCACGCUCGAUGGAUCUUUUCCUUUUCUCCUGUCGUCAUUCAGUCCCCGACAGCGUGGGAGGAAGGCGACAUCACCCACUUGGCGGAGGAGGAAACUGAGGCCAGAGGCUGGAAGGGACUCACAAAGGCCACCAACGAGGGACAGGCCGAUGGACGCAGCCCUGGACUGCGGGUCGGCAGUGAGGGGACAGGCCAUCUUGUCUCCAUCAGCAGAGGGUGUGUCUGGAUGCAGCCAGACCAGAGGAUUUGGAAGUGAGAGAUGGAAGAGAGAGAAACCAGGUCCUGGGGAGAAUAUGAGGACCCCUGGAUGAAGCCAUGCCUGAAUCUGGAAAUCUCUGUGGACUUUUCAGUUACUGUG